GAGGGGUCGAAGACCCAAUUUGUUUUGGGUCUAAAUGAGACCCCUCAAACCUCCCUGCCUUUAGGGUAAGGGGGGUUCCUCGUUGGAACCCUCGUCCUUCAGGGCGGGGAGGAGGUCAGCGCUCUCCUCAUC
rnacentral:misc_RNA from 1 species